rnacentral:rRNA from 1 species
CAGCAGCCGCCGCGGUAAUACAGAGGGUGCGAGCGUUAAUCGGAUUUACUGGGCGUAAAGCGUGCGUAGGCGGCUUUUUAAGUCGGAUGUGAAAUCCCUGAGCUUAACUUAGGAAUUGCAUUCGAUACUGGGAAGCUAGAGUAUGGGAGAGGAUGGUAGAAUUCCAGGUGUAGCGGUGAAAUGCGUAGAGAUCUGGAGGAAUACCGAUGGCGAAGGCAGCCAUCUGGCCUAAUACUGACGCUGAGGUACGAAAGCAUGGGGAGCAAACAGGAUUAGAGACCCCCGUAGUCCCUGUCUCUUAUAC